AUAGCUUAACUAAAUAUCACGGAGACUUUUGUCAGUCUCGUGUUUUCGUGUCGGACACUCAUGUAUCCGUAUCAGAUACGUGUCCGAAGUGAGCACUACUCCUUGGAUGCGCGUUUAAUCUCAACACACAACGCAAACAAUUAAAAAAAAGAUAUACAUAUUUUUAUUUUAUUUUUUUUAUGCUUUAUAAAUUCAAGAUGAUAAAUAUUUUAACUUUCGGGUGAAUAUGUACAAAUUUUAAAUUUUUUUUACAAUAUAAAUUAAUUUGUAUGUUGUAGAAUUUUUUUAAAAAAUAUGUAAAUUAUCAAUAAAAAUNAGAGAGAGAGAGAGAGAGAGAGAGAGUAUAUAUAUAUAUAUAUAGAGAGAGAGAGAGAGAGAGAGAGAGAGUUGAGCUAGAAUACUAUCGGUAGUAAACGAGCUAUUUUACUACCGAUUUGUUUUCGAUGAUAGAACUUCCAAAUUGACGAUCGGCUCCGUUGAACAUGAUCUAUACCACUUGAAGUGUUUAGAAAUCAAAUUUCAAAUCUUUUCGACAUCAUUUGCCUAAUGAUUUGUUUCAAAAUUUGUAAUUUUAAUAGUCGAUAAGAGGCGUUUUCUCGUUUAACGGCGUAAUGAUAUCCAAAUCAAUUGAAUUUUUGUUAGAAAAUUCUUUAAACUAUUUAAAACAAAAUCUAUACUCUUGAUCUUAAUUACAAGACUCCUAUAUAUCAUCAUUUUUUAAAGAGUAUUUAUUUUUAGCCAUUCAUUUUUCUGUUUACUUGAUGGAUAAAAGAACAAUAUCGAAAGUGCGUGAAAUUUGAUUUCUAGGUAGUUUAAAUGGUUUAGAUCAUAUUUAACAGAGCCGAUCGUCAAUUUGGAAGUUCUAUCAUCAAAAACAAAUCGGUAGUAAAACGGCUCGUUUACUACCGAUAGUAUUCUAGCUCAACUAUAUAUAUAUAUAUAUAUAGUCUGGCUGCUAUACUAUCGGUAGCACGGAGGCUUCCGUGCUACCAAGUUGUUUUUGAUGAUGCGGCUUCCAAAUCGACGAUCAGCGACGUUAUACUUGAUCUACACUAUUGAAAGUAUUUGGAAACUAAAUUUCAGAAUUUUUGAACAUCAUUUGGCUAGUGAUUAAAAGGUCUCUAAAUUAACAAUUUUAAUAAUAGAUGUGAUGCAUUUGUAAAUUUAACAGUGUAAAACGAUCCAAAUCAGAUGGAAUUUUUAUAGAAAUUUUUUUUUACUCUACAGAGUAAGAUCAGUAUCUCUGAUCUUAAAUUCAAGUUUUCUAUCAUCAUUUUUUAUGAGAUUUUUAUUUUCAGCCGUUCAUUUUCAGACUACUCGUUUGAUAAGUAAAUAAUAUCGAAAAAUUAUGAAAUUUAGUUUUCAAAUACUUUCAAUAGUGUAGAUCAAGUCUAACGGAUCCGAUCGUCGAUUUGGAUGCGGUAUCAUUGAAAACAACUUGGUAGUACAGAGGCCUUCGUGCUACCGAUAGUAUACCAGUCUAGCUCUCUCUAUAUAUAUAUUAUAUUAAUAAGAUUAUAUUUUAUUAGCAAUAUUAGUAUUUUAUUCGUAUUUUAAUUAUUUGAAAGUUGGCGAAUUGUCGUG
rnacentral:lncRNA from 1 species